UUGCUCAUUCUAUUCAUCUAUGAGGCAGUAAUUCACCACCAGAAGCACCAUCACCUUCCUUCUGUGUCCCUCCACAAAGCCAGUUGGGACUUCUAGAUAUUUUUGAAGGCAUAUUGAACUAGAUGGUGUUCUAGGGUACUAAUUUCAAGCUGUUGUUCUCCUAACCAUGCCACCAUAGCAGCAAUUUUAUUCUGAUGCAUAGAUUUGUAUAGAGAGGGUAAGAAAUUAUUCCAUGAAGUGAUCCCUUCUCAGAAUUUUAAAUAAGAAAUGGAAAAACUUUCUGUACUCUCAGAGUUUUCAUAAUUUCCCCUGGGGUAGGAGGGCAGGUGCAGAAGGUCUACACUUCAAGGAAAGAAAUAAGUAAUAAACAAAAUAAAUAAUACUGAAUAUAUCAAGUUAUUAUAAAAUGCUAAAAAGAAAUAAGGCCAGGUAACAUUUAAGCAGGGAACGGAACAAAGAUAAAGAAACAGCCACGUGGACGUGUGGUGGAAGAUCGUUUGAAGGAGGAGAAGAGCAAGUCAAAGGCCCUGAGGCAAGAGCACACUGGGCAUGUUCAAGGUUCACACAGUUUGGUGGAAAGUGAAGACUGAAGGGGCUUGCAAACAACAACAAAGCAAACAAGCAAGCAAAAAAACUCUAAAGCAAACUGAGUCACCAUUCAUAGGAAACAGCUCAGCCCCUUCGGGGAUUCUGGGAGUUGGAAGAGGCCAACUUUUCCUACCUGCAGUUUGAAGAUUAAGGACUUAGAGAUUUGUUGAGAGGCUGCUUCCGAGAGGUUACUGAUACACUGAGGACAGGAACUACUGACUACUCUGAAUGAGGGAAAAACAUCCAGUUUGGGGUGAUCCUGUUUUGCAAUGGCAGCUGUCAGCCAUAACAUGGUGGGAAAUAACGGUAAAUAAA
rnacentral:lncRNA from 1 species